GCUAACACAGUAUGUAAUACCAGGGUCGGCCCAACCUUGGCCCAAUGUUGUAAUCAUGGCCAAACAUUGGACAAGCUUACGCCAGGGUACAGCCAAGAUUUGUACAUGCUUGCAUCCCUUGAUACCUUGAUAUUUAACCGUUUUUACCUUGGCUGCCAAGAUUACACUGAUUUAUGGAUUCACUGCAGAAAUUUUAGUUAAAUAUGCUUGUUAAACUUAAUAUAUGUUAACUAAAAUUAAUUUAUCUUUUAAUAUCAUGCUCUAAUGUAAACAUAGCAUCAAUAACAGACUACGUUGCAUGUGUUAAACAUUUUGUUAAUCUUUUUAAAAUUGUGUGCGCUACUGCCACCGGCCCCCUGUCGCCCAUUGUCCCUUUGUUCACAUUCCUUCCUAUUGUUCGCAAGCCAGCAUCCCGGUCCUGCGCCAUUUUUCUUAACAAAAGACUUUGUAUCCAGUCACAGUAAAACAGGUAGGCCCACUGUAGCCAUUUUAGUUCAACAGUGAGAAGUAGUAUAACUGUAUUUAUGCAGAAUCUGGAAAACUCGUAUUUUUUUGUUGGAAACUUUAACUUUAUGGGCCUAAGUCAUCAAAUAAAAGUUAUAAAAGGUAGUUUAUUUGAGGUAAUAAAAUGAGCCUAGAUCUAGUCUAGAUCUAUAUAUUAAUAAUACUAGAGUCUAUAUUCUGUUUAUUUUGGCAUUAGGCUAUAAUUACAUUUUACAAUAAUCUCCUUAAUGAUAGAUCUAGAUAGAUCUAGAUUCUAAUAAUACUAAAUAACUAAAAAUCGUAAUCAGAGGGCGGUUAAUUUUGACAGCACUUUUUUUUGUAUUGAAAAGUAUGCAAGUACGUUUGGGGUUAUAUUGAUUAUUGAUAGAUCGAUGUAUUUAUUGGUUUUCAACUUUAGGUAUAAUUAUCACGCACAGGGAAAGGGGGGGGGGGCUUAAAUGUUUAUAAAUUAAUAAAUAAUCAUUCACUUUAACUUUUUUAAAAACUUAAUUUUAUUGUUCUAGGCCUAUUUGUGUAAGGAUUUGAAACUGUCUUUAUUAAUUAAUUCAGAGAGAGAGAGAGAGAGAGAGAGGAACAGUAGACACAAUUAUAGAACAAAUUUCUACAUGUUAAACAGUGUAUUUUGAUAGGUAUUAAUUUUGAAAAAAAAUUAGUCAACUAGAAUUCUAAAUUGAUUCAAGAUUGUCAUUCAAAUUUCUAUUACUGUUACAGCUCCCUAUGGGAGAAUAAGAUGUCAUCAUCAUCACUCCUUUGUGGCCCCUGGGGAGCAAAGGGCUGCAACCACACAUCUCCAGCGGACUUGGUUUUGGGCUGCUCCUCUAAUCUGUGCCCAUGAGAGCCCAGCUGUUUUUGCCUCCUCCUCAACCGUUCUCUUCCAUGUUUUCCUUGGCCGGCCCACCCUCCUUUUUCCCUGGGGAUUCCAGUCUAAUGCAUGUUUUGAUGAAUAAUAUGUAAGUUGUGUAAAUAGUAGUGUGGAGACCUCAGAGCAACACUUAAUUUCAUGACCAACAGCGAUAAGAUGGUACUAUUAGUAAGCCAUACUUAAUGAUCAACACUACUCAUAUUAUCAUAUAGAGGACAGAGUAGGCAAAUGGUUGAGGACACUAUUGCUAAACAUAAAGCCAAGUUAGUAGUACAUUCAUCAGUUCACCUAAGUCUGAUAUAUACCCAAUUUAAGACUAUGAAAUAAAAAAGGUGGCUAGAUAUAGUGUUGACUACACAAUCCUUUAUAUACAGAGAUCAAAUAAACAGAGAUACUUAAAAAUUAGUAUCUAAUCUGGCUAUCAUUUAUUGUAUCACUCACUCAUUUUAUUAUUAUAUUUAAUAACUAAGAAUGCCAUUUAUUUUCAGGCCUCCAGGUGUUGUGUAUAUCAAUCAGCCCACUGGAGAUAUAUCAAUCUUGAUACUUCACCAAAUACUGGCUACACCAGAAGAUGACUAAAUGUUCUUAACACUUAAUAACUACCACAAGCAUUACUUCUGGGUCACUCUGAAGGGUCUAAUCGUUCAAUUACUGAAUUGAUAAAGUUGAUGAAAUUGCUCAAAAAUUGUCUGGCACCUUCUUAGCUCAGAGACAUAGGAAUGUGGAUGGAUUAUGACAUACCUUGCACAAAUCAACAACCAGGCUUUUAUUGGAUUUGAAUCCCAAAGGAAAGAGAAAGUUUGUUAUCCAAAACAAACAUGGAAAAUAUCAGAAACCAACAAAACACAAGCAGGCAGAGUGUUAUGGACACAACUUUGGGGAAUCUCCUAAAACCAAGUAUAAAAAUAGAGAGGUGUGGUUGUGUCUCUCAGCUCCACAAGGGUCCACAAGAAUGAGGACAACAGUGAUUUUCGUAAUAAUUUUAGAUCAGAUUUAAAAAAAAAAAUUUGAUCAGAUGGAUCAGGUUAACAGUUUAAUACAUAUUGCAUUUAAGUGCUUAAUGAAAAGAAAAGAUGCUCUUACCAAAAUAGUCUAAGAACAAUGCUGAUUUUAAAUUAAUAAAUUGUUUCCUUUUGUAAUAAUAUAAUAAUUUAAGUUGGCAUUGUAUGUAUGUUUAGUGUAGAUUUAAUGCCCUAAAUGAAAUAUACAAUUGACAUUUUUUUCUUUAAAGAAUUAGUUGCAAAUUUCUUUCAUUAUUUAGUUUCACUGUACAAUCUGAAAAAAGCUUGCAACAUUUGUAUUGACAAUACUUCUGCUGGUGAUAUUUAUUUCUAAUUAAUGAAGUAAAUUAAUAUAUAUUCAGUUUGCUAUAAUUAAAUACCUCAUACUCGAGACAAAAAAACAUUUAUUAAAUAUCGCAGUGAUAUUCCUGUUCUACACAAUGCGUAUAAACCCUCGAACCAUCUGUCUUUUGAAAGAUUGUACAUUUUGUAUACACAAUGGCAUUCAUUUCAACACUAUUUAACCACAAUUAUAAUCUAGAGAUCCUGAACAUAUUUUCGUUCUGUUAUUUAUGGACAAGGCAGACUGGUCCAGCAUUAAAAUGUAAACCUUAAUUAGAAUACUUAAACGAGCUAUGCAAUUAAAUGUUGUUAGACAAAUAUUUUAUACUUUUUAUUUUUAAUGUUAUGUUUACGUAUCAUAGUACAAGACAGCUUCUGUAUUCUUGUACAGUAAAUUAAGUUUUUUACAUUAGUUUAAUUUAAACUGUAGGCCUGCUUAACAUCUGUUACAUUAUAUGAAAAUGUUUUGUAUAUUUGUUUUAAUUUGUUUGUAUAAAAGUCAAAAUGAAAGUUACUACACUAUAAUUUACUUAUUCUUUUUCAAUCAAUACUUUAUAGUAUAGUUAUAAUUUUCUUACAAUUGAAUGGAUGGUAUAAUACAGAUUUUAAUAGAUGAGCAGUUCUUGUGUAUGUAUUGCUGCUUUACUACAUUUUGAUUAAAAUUUCUUUCAC